GGGAUUCCCCUAGUAACGGCGAGUGAAGCGGGAACAGCUCAAAUUUGAAAUCUGGCCCUUGGGUCCGAGUUGUAAUUUGCAGAGGAUGCUUUUGGUGCGGUGCCUUCCGAGUUCCCUGGAACGGGACGCCUUAGAGGGUGAGAGCCCCGUACGGUUGGCCACCAAGCCUGUGUAAAGCUCCUUCGACGAGUCGAGUAGUUUGGGAAUGCUGCUCAAAAUGGGAGGUAUAUUUCUUCUAAAGCUAAAUACUGGCCAGAGACCGAUAGCGCACAAGUAGAGUGAUCGAAAGAUGAAAAGCACUUUGAAAAGAGGGUUAAAUAGCACGUGAAAUUGUUGAAAGGGAAGGAUUUAUGACCAGACUUUUUCUGGGGGGAUCAUCCGGUGUUCUCACCGGUGCACUUCCCCCAGUUGAGGCCAGCAUCGGUUUCUGCCGGGGGAUAAAAGCUUUGGGAAUGUGGCUCCUUCGGGAGUGUUAUAGCCCGUUGCAUAAUACCCUGGCGGGGACCGAGGUUCGCGCAUUGCAAGGAUGCUGGCGUAAUGGUUAUUAAUCACCCGUCUUGAAACACGGACCAAGGAGUCGAACAUUUGUGCGAGUGUUUGGGUGUUAAACCCUCACGCGUAAUGAAAGUGAACGGAGGUGAGAGCCUUUAGGGGUGCAUCAUCGACCGAUCCUGAUGUCUUCGGAUGGAUUUGAGUAAGAGCAUAACUGUUCGGACCCGAAAGAUGGUGAACUAUGCGUGGAUAGGGUGAAGCCAGAGGAACUCUGGUGGAGGCUCGCAGCGGUUCUGACGUGCAAAUCGAUCGUCAAAUCUGC
rnacentral:rRNA from 1 species